UUCUAGCGCUGGCCACCAUCCCUGUCUUCCUUCCGGUUCAGUCCUGAAUAAGGUCUCUCUGCUGUGCCGUCUUCCUGAAGCCAUCUGUGGAGUCAGGCAGUCAUGGCUCAGGAACACUCUGAAGUCGGUCCCAACACAUCUGCACCGACCAUUAAGAGGAAAGCGGACGAAUACUUAAAACCCAGCCUGGCCUCUAAAUCCGUGCUGAGCGUUUUACUCAGUAGACAGCUUGGGAAUCACAGAAAUGAUGCGGAUCUGACAGAGUGGCUGUGGACACUGACACAAGCCACACCAGGGAGGAGCUGGCCUUUGCCAACACACCCCACAACCAACCCACCUCUGCUCCCUGGGGAGGAUGGAAAAUCCAAGAAAACGGUGUGGAUCAAUAAAUCCUUUCCCUGAUGCAACCAUUA